UACAGAGGUCCCAAGCGUUGUUCGGAUUCAUUGGGCGUAAAGGGUGCGUAGGCGGUGGAGUAAGUUGGAUGUGAAAUCUUGGGGCUUAACCUCAAAAUUGCAUUCAAUACUGCUUCGCUCGAGUUCUGUAGAGGAGAUUGGAAUUUACGGUGUAGCAGUGAAAUGCGUAGAUAUCGUAAGGAACGCCAGUGGCGAAAGCGAAUCUCUGGGCAGCAACUGACGCUGAGGCACGAAGGCCAGGGGAGCAAACGGGG
rnacentral:rRNA from 1 species